rnacentral:rRNA from 1 species
UACAGAGGUCUCGAGCGUUAGGCGGAAUCACUGGGCUUAAAGCGUGUGUAGGUGGAUCGGUAAGUACCUUGUGAAAUCCCACCGCUCACCGGUGGAACUGCUCGGCAUACUGGCGGUCUUGAGCCACUUAGGGGCAACCGGAACAAACGGUGGAGCGGUGAAAUGCGUAGAUAUCGUUUGGAACGCCAAUGGUGAAAACAGGUUGCUGGGAGUGUGCUGACGCUGAGACACGAAAGCCAGGGGAGCAAACGGG